rnacentral:rRNA from 1 species
GACAGAGGUGCCGAGCGUUAGGCGGAAUCACUGGGCUUAAAGCGUGUGUAGGCGGGUGCCUAAGUACCUUGUGAAAUCCCACGGCUCAACCGUGGAACUGCUUGGUAUACUGGGUAUCUUGAGCCACUUAGGGGCAACCGGAACAAACGGUGGAGCGGUGAAAUGCGUAGAUAUCAAGUGGAACACCAGUGGCGAAGGCGAGUCUCUGGACAUUUCCUGACGCUGAGGCACGAAAGCCAGGGGAGCAAACGGG